rnacentral:rRNA from 1 species
ACUGCUCAGUAACACGUGGACAACCUGCCCUUAGGUUGGGUAUAAACCCGGGAAACUGGGUAUAAUACCCGAUAGGUCUCGAUUGCUGGAAUGCAUCGAGAUUUAAAGCUCCGGCGCCUAAGGAUGGGUCUGCGGCCUAUCAGGUAGUAGUGGGUGUAGCGUACCUACUAGCCUACGACGGGUACGGGUUGUGAGAGCAAGAGCCCGGAGAUGGAUUCUGAGACACGAAUCCAGGCCCUACGGGGUGCAGCAGGCGCGAAAACUUUACAAUGCUGGCAACAGCGAUAAGGGAACCUCGAGUGCCAGGUUACAAAUCUGGCUGUCGAGAUGCCUAAAAAGCAUUUCAUAGCAAGGGCCGGGCAAGACCGGUGCCAGCCGCCGCGGUAACACCGGCGGCUCGAGUGGUAACCGUUAUUAUUGGGUCUAAAGGGUCUGUAGCCGGCCGGAUAAGUCUCUUGAGAAAUCUGGCAGCUUAACUGUCAGGCUUUCAGGAGAUACUGUCUGGCUCGAGGCCGGGAGAGGUGAGAGGUACUUCAGGGGUAGGGGUGAAAUCUUGUAAUCCUUGAAGGACCACCAGUGGCGAAGGCGUCUCACCAGAACGGACCUGACGGCAAGGGACGAAAGCUAGGGGCACGAACCGGAUUAGAUACCCGGGUAGUCCUAGCCGUAAACGAUACUCGCUAGGUGUCGGCCACGGUGCGACCGUUGUCGGUGCCGUAGGGAAGCCGUGAAGCGAGCCACCUGGGAAGUACGGCCGCAAGGCUGAAACUUAAAGGAAUUGGCGGGGGAGCACCACAACGGGUGGAGCUUGCGGUUUAAUUGGAUUCAACGCCGGAAAUCUUACCGGGACCGACAGCAAUAUGAAGGCCAGGCUGAAGACUUUGCCGGAUUAGCUGAGAGGUGGUGCAUGGCCGUCGUCAGUUCGUACUGUGAAGCAUCCUGUUAAGUCAGGCAACGAGCGAGACCCGUACC